rnacentral:misc_RNA from 1 species
UGGCUCUGGCAUCGAUGAAGAACGCAGCGAAAUGCGAUAAGUAAUGCGAAUUGCAGAUUUCAGUGAAUCAUCGAAUCUUUGAACGCACAUUGCGCCCGCCAGUAUUCUGGCGGGCAUGCCUGUUCGAGCGUCAUUUCAACCCUCAAGCCCCCGGGCUUGGCGUUGGGGAUCGGCAGCCGACGGGAGCCCUCGCGGCGCCCGGAGCCGUCCCCCAAAUCCAUCGGCGGUCACGCCGCGGCGUCCCCUGCGUAGUACUGCACCUCGCACCGGACCGCGGCCUGGCCACGCCGUAAAACCCCCGACUUUUAUCGUGGUUGACCUCGAAUCAGGUAGGACUACCCGCUGA